rnacentral:rRNA from 1 species
UACGAGAGGCCCAAACGUUAUUCGGAAUUACUGGGCGUAAAGCGUGCGUAGGCGGUUCGCUGUGUCCGAUGUGAAAGCCCCGGGCUUAACCUGGGAAUGGCAUUGGAAACUGGCGGGCUUGAGUGCGGCAGAGGGGGGGGGUGGAAUUCCGCGUGUAGCAGUGAAGUGCGUAGAGAUGCGGAGGAGCACCGAUGGCGAAGGCAGCCCCUGGGUCGACACUGACGCCUCAGGCACGAAAGCGUGGGGAGCAAACA